GACACUUGAAAGACUUGUACAUUUGAUAUUUGGAAAAUAAAAAAUACUCAUCUCUUGUCUUCUCUCGAUAUUUUUUAUCUACUUUACUAUUCAUAAUAUUCAUCUUUUGUCUUAGUUUUAAAAUACGUUAUCAGCAUGAAGCUCACAAGUUAAAGGAAGAAUAGUUGAUCUAUCAUGCAAAUAAGUUUUCAUGGCUAAUUGGUUGCUGCUACUAACAAGUUCAAUAUGCAAAUGGCUUGCGAUGAUGAGGUCACAAAUAAAGUGAUUUUCAAGAAUUUAUUUGUCUGUGUUCAUGGGCUUAACAUAUCCAAUAAAUAAGAAAACAACAUAUCAGGAUGAUUUCAAGAAUGUAACAUCUUCAUGAAUGUGAUUUGAUCACAACGACACAAUUAAUAUCAAUAUUUGAAAGCAAAGAUAUAAUAUUGUAGAUGUCAUCUUUGAGAAGUCAAAUAAAUGUUUGCAUCAGGGGGAGUAAAAUACGUGCUGUACUUUUUUUCAUCGGCCUAGGUUUUGUCCCAAUAGGUUUUUCUAGCAAGGUUCUUAACGAGGCAUCAAAAAAACCCGUAUUAUAAGAUAUGUGUACUCUUUUUCCUUCACUAGAAAUUUUUUUUCACGGGGUUUUUUCCUAGUAAGGUUUUAACGAGGCACAUCAUCUAUGGAUAUCUAAGGAGGAGUGUUAUAAAACAAAUAAAUGUGGAUGUCCACUACUCUAGAAAUUACUCCCACUACUUAUAUCAAUUACUUUACUCUAUUAUAAAGAUAACAUCUACCAUUGAUGGCCAUUAUUUUUGUAACCUUUCAUAUCCAUAACCUCCUCCAUUAUGUUAAUGGUUAAUGUCAUAUUUAUGACAACCUUUUGCAUGCCUCUAUAUGAAACUAUAAAUAGAGGCAUAAGGAUUCAUAUUUUAGACACUUGAAAUACUUGUACAUUUGAUCUUUAGAAGAAUGAAAAACACUCAUCUUGAUGUUGGGUGUAUUUAUGCA